GCCGCGGUGGCGGAAUUGGUAGACGCACAGGACUCAAAAUCCUGCGAUAGCAAUAUCAUGAGAGUUCGACUCUCUCUCGCGGCACCA
rnacentral:tRNA from 1 species